UACGGGGGGAGCAAGCGUUGUUCGGAUUUACUGGGCGUAAAGGGCGUGUAGGCGGCUUCGUAAGUCUUGUGUGAAAGCCCUCGGCUCAACCGAGGAAUUGCACGAGAAACUGCGUGGCUCGAGUCCGGGAGAGGAUAGUGGAAUUCCCAGUGUAGAGGUGAAAUUCGUAGAUAUUGGGAAGAACACCGGUGGCGAAGGCGGCUAUCUGGACCGUAACUGACGCUGAGGCGCGAAAGCGUGGGGAGCAAACAGG
rnacentral:rRNA from 1 species